GGGAAAGGAUCCCUAGUAGCGGCGAGCGAAGCGGGAAGAGCUCAAAUUUGUAAUCUGGCGCUUUCAGCGUCCGAGUUGUAAUCUCUAGAAAUGUUUUCCGCGUUGGACCGCACACAAGUCUGUUGGAAUACAGCGGCACAGUGGUGAGACCCCCGUUCAUGGUGCGGAUGCCCAAUGCUUUGUGAUACAUUUUCGAAGAGUCGAGUUGUUUGGGAAUGCAGCUCAAAUUGGGUGGUAAAUUCCAUCUAAAGCUAAAUAUUGGCGAGAGACCGAUAGCGAACAAGUACCGUGAGGGAAAGAUGAAAAGCACUUUGGAAAGAGAGUUAACAGUACGUGAAAUUGUUGGAAGGGAAACGCUUGAAGUCAGACUUGCUGUUCGGAGUUCAGCCGCAAGGUGUACUCUCCGAGUUGCAGGCCAGCAUCAGUUUUUCGGGGUGGAAAAUCACGGUUUGAAGGUAGCAGUUUCGGCUGUGUUAUAGCUUUCCGUUGGAUACAUCCUGGGGGACUGAGGAACGCAGUGUGCUUUUAGCGGAGGUUUCGACCUCUUCACACUUAGGAUGCUGGUGGAAUGGCUUUAAACGACCCGUCUUGAAACCACGGACCAAAA
rnacentral:rRNA from 1 species